GCAUUCAGCAGCCUGUGGAGAAGAGUGCCCCUGAGGUCCAUGCCCCCGAGGUCCCUGCACAGAGCCCCCCAGCCGCGAGCCUCGCAGGUGCCGCCCAGAGCAGCGACGUGCCCCCAGGCAUUCUGUACAAGGUGCAGGCCCAGCACAACUACACGGCUCUGGAUUCGGACGAAUUGGGCCUCCAUCUUGGAGAUGUGGUGUUCGUACUGCCCCCCGACAGUGGUGACGAGCAGGAUUCCGGCUGGCUUCUGGGCAUCAAGGAAGCUGACUGGAUCACUCACAAAGAUCUUGAUGGACACAAGGGUGUGUUUCCAGAAAACUUCACCGUGCGCGUAGACUAAGCGCCACUCCAAGAGACUCGCGCACUAGUAAUGAUGUGCUGCCUCGGCAAAUUGCGAGUAAUACAGAUAUGAAAGUAAACUAGCCAGCCAUCUGUUUAAACCCUUCAAUGAAAAGGCGUUUAACUGGUUGAACAGUUUUCCUUCCGUAUCAAUGAGUUCCCAGUGGCGUUUCAGACUGAUUUGAAAUGUACUCGCUGGAAAAAAGUCUGUGGUUUGCUUUGAUUGAACAAAAUGCGACGAGAUACAUUGAUUUGGGUGGUCUGUUGAUCGAUAAUUUAAAUGUUAUUUCAUUUUGCCAAUUAAACAGUUGUCUUCGCCUGUUCAUGUAUUCAUUUAAACAAUUAGCUUAUUAAAGGAAAGUCAUCUCAUGGUAGCUUAGUGACUAAUUAGGAUGCAGUGUUUAAAAACACGUCACUCGCUUGUGACGUCUGUAAAACCAGAGGUGUGUACCAACUUGCCACCCGGCGAUUCGAUAUUUUCUUCCGAUUUGGGAGUCGCAAUUCGAUUGAAGAAUGUAUUUCCUUGUUUGUACCGUCUCGUUCGUUAUCCUGUGUAUGUUCGAUCUUGUUCGUUCAAUGAGCCUAACGUUCAUUCGUAUACAAUUUAGCAGCUUAUGGCGCCAUCCAUUUAGUACGUGCGCAUGGAGGGGGGAGGGGUUAACCAUAAUGCGUACGCUUGCGGAUGGGGGGGUCUACUGACAAUGUACGUACGCAUAGGAAAGGGGGGGGGGGGUGAAGCCUCGAUAAUUUGUCUUCAAAUGAGGUAGAGGGGGAGGGGUCAAGUUUUCACAGAUUUUUGCAUACGUACUAAAUGGAUGGCCCCUAUUUUAGUAGAUUAAUCGUCUGCUUAAUCUUAAAGGCCACUUGGCUUUUUUUCCCUUCGCUGUUUACCUCGCACCACUUAGAGCAGGAUGACUUACUGUUUGAUUGACAUUUCUGGCGUUUAACUUGAAAAUCAUUCAAGUUCACGAUUGAAAAAAACCCAUUAGUAGCAUUGUGUGACUCAUUGUUAAUUUAUCUGAAUCACAUAGACGAUCGGUAAUAAACAUCCAUUUGAUUUGCGAUAAACCUACUGUCAUUUGAGAAGGAGAGUUGUGAUCGAGCAACUUGAUACAUUUAAAACAACACUAUAUAACCACCGUCAACACCGUUCAUGAAAUCUCAAUAAUAAGAAUGAGAAGUCUGCCUUCUCAGACGAGCAAUGUGGCAGUGCUCACCUUAACUGCCAGUCCUAAGCCAGUUGUGGAAAUUCUGUAUGCAGUACCUUUGGUGGAGGCCAUUAUCUCAAUUAAACAAGCAUUGUAGACCUGGUAGCUGUCCUAAUUUUCGCCACCCUGAAAGAAUGAUGGGCCCGAAUUUAAUUUGCAAUCUUCCAAUUCUGAGCGAGGCGUCCCAACCACAGCGCCACCUCGCCAGAAAGCAAUGAGAAUAGGGCUGGUGCAUCUCCAUUUAGCUGUGAAACUAACACGACCGUAGCACCGAUUACAGGCUCCCAGUCUUUGGGGUGGCCUUGCAUCAUUGUGACUUCUAUAACUUUGUAGCUCUUCGAUGCGCUUACCGGUUGUACCGCUAGUUGUUCGGAACUAAUGUCCGAUGUUUGAUUCCACAUGCUGAGAACUUCUCCAGGAACUGAAUUGAGCUGGCAGAACGAGCUCCCAGCGUGUGGAGUGAAACGUCGGACGCCAAACCAAAAUGUCACAAUCCGAAAACAAGUCUGAGAGCCAAGCAGCACAACCGUGAACACUUUCGCUCAUGAGCAUAAUUGGCCAUUUGAAAAUGUUUGUAUUUGAAAAUAGCUACUGUGUGGUAAACCCAAAAACCAGCACAUUCGUCAAUAACAGUGGCCUUCAAAGAAAAAUGUGUAAUACGUGAUGUUUCAGAUAAUGGCCCUUCUUCAAAACACAUGUCGCCUAUUAUGUUAUUUUCUUUUAAGGCCACGGUGUGAUUGAUGAACGAGUUGAGUUUUUUUUGUUAAUUGUCCUUGUGCACCACUGCCAAAGACUGCAUCACCACAUAAUUUGUGUAUCUGUGUAAUAAGAUCAACUCACAUUGUUUGGUAAUGAUUGAUUUCAGGACGACAGCAGGCCACCCCAUGCUUUACCUUGUGACGUCCCAUGUGCAAAUUGUUUCAGAAGCUUCGCUUUUAAAUUGACAAAUACAAGUGCAAUAGUAUUCUUACCUAAUGCAUGUGGUUAAGACUUCUGUUCUUAUCUGGUAGUGUAACAACAAUGUACUCGGUGAACUUUAUUUAUAACAGCGCUUAUCUCGACACUGCUAAUGUUAUCGCAAGGGCUUCUGAUUUUGACACCACAGUUUCCGUAACUUCAUGUGGGACAUGUCAGCAUCCUUGAAUGUAACCUGUUAAUGUAUUGUCAUUGAUGAAUCCACUUGAUGUUUGUGGAAAUGGGCAAAAAAGCAGACACCAGCCUCGUGGUCCUACGUUUACUCAAACUAGAUAUAUUUUCCUUGGGUUCACCGCUCUAAUGAGUAACCAAUGCUGCUCCAUUGGGGUUGUCAACACUGGAUUAACUAGUAAUGCAUUAGCUCCUCCAGUUGUGAUUGUAGAUUUAAAGCAGCGGUUGCACAUUGUGGUUUAAAUUUCAAAUUGUGCAUGCCAAUGAGGAUUGCAGAAGGCAAAUUAUCUGGAUAGGGGGUGUAUUGUCAGUGAGAAAGUGAAGGCUUGCUGAAGGGAUUAUGUUGGGAAGUAAAUGCCAAGCGGUAGAGAAAUGUAAAGCGCUGCUUGACGAAUUGAAGAUGGAGCCCGUUAUGCCAAAAUCUGUAUGUUUAACUUCUUUCGCACCGUACGUAGUCAACCGUGCUAAUUGGAGGUGCGGGGGGAAGGACAACAAACUCAACACAAAACAGUGAAGAGGAAAUCGCAAGAUCAGAGAAGGCUGAGGAAACUUGAAACAAGAAUCUGCCCUUGGGCAGAUAACUCGACGACAGAUAGACAUAACACCGCGUGUCACAAUGCCAGCUCUCGCUGCCCGACGUGGGUACGCGUUUGCCAUGCGAUACCAACCACCGUGUGCGUGGAGUGCACAGUGGCUUCAUUCGCAGUACGGGAUAUAAAAAUGAUAGGUGAUAUAAAAAAAAGUUGGGCGUGGCGAAGGCGAGUUGAGAAAAGUUGAUGUGGAAUAUCGCACUUGCAUUGUUGACCCGCGAAAGCAAUAAGCAACCCCUGUUAAGCAUGUGUAUUGUACCGGGAAAUGUUACAUGCCCAAACGUCUGCUGAUAGUACAAUAUAGUGAAGUUCGCGUUGACUUUAUGUGCCGAAUGUAGCAUUGUUUCUCGUUCCUGUUAUUAAAUGUGUGCAUGUA